UACGGGGGGGGCAAGCGUUGUUCGGAAUUACUGGGCGUAAAGGGCUCGUAGGUGGCCAACUAAGUCAGACGUGAAAUCCCUCAGCUUAACUGGGGAACUGCGUCCGAUACUGGAUGGCUUGGAUUUGGGAGAGGGAUGCGGAAUUCCAGGUGUAGCGGUGAAAUGCGUAGAUAUCUGGAGGAACACCGGUGGCGAAGGCGGCAUCCUGGACCAAUAUUGACGCUGAGGAGCGAAAGCUAGGGGAGCAAACGGG
rnacentral:rRNA from 1 species